rnacentral:lncRNA from 1 species
UUCGUAGAGCAGACCCUUUAGUUUGGCUACUUCAAAUGCAGGAUUGACAUGAGGUCGUACCUCCUGAAGAGGGUACGUAGGCAAUUUUGCCAUGUACAAACGAUUCCUUGCUAGCCCCCUCUCCGUCGUAUGUAUCAACAACAUAUAAUUCUUCUGGGUAAUGCUAUGCCACUUGGGGGUCCUUUGGGCUUGCACCUCUGACUAUCUGUCUUAGUUUUACAAGCAUUCACACCCACUAUGGAGAACAUGUACGACUUUAAGGAUAUUCUGCCA